rnacentral:lncRNA from 1 species
ACUUAAUUGGAUAAACUACACUAUGUUGUACAUCAUUGGUGAGAGGAAACAAUUGGGAAAAAGGAACAAAAGUUGCAUAACUUUGUGGCUCACAAGCUGCUCGUCAAAUAUAGUGAAGUUUGUUGAUUUAUUCAAAUGUAGGUACAUCUAUAGUGUGCAAGGAGCUAGUGUUAAAACAACACAUGAUGUGUCCUGAACAAGUAGGAAUGUACAGCACAGCUACCUAAAGGAUAGAUAAGGUGAAAAUUAAAAUAGCAAUGCUAUAUCAACUGUGCAAACUUAAAGUGGGUUUUCUUUUUCAGGGGGCACCCAAGCCAAUCGCCAUUGAACCUUGUGCUGGGAACAGAGCUGCUGUUCUGACUGUGUUUCUUUGUCUACCACGAGGAUCAUCAGGUGCCCCUCCCCCUGGGCAGUCAGGCCUUGCAAUUGCCAGUGCCCUAAUAGAUAUUUCACAACAGAAAGCUUCAGAUAGUAAAGAUAAGACUUCUGGAGUCCGGAAUCGAAAACACCUUUCAACACGUCAAGGAACUUGUGUCUGAGAAAUGGAAACCGCUCCUGUAUAUUCUGUACUGUUUUACUCUGGGCUUCUGUAACGCUGUUCUAUGGCCUCGGAUUUUAUGGAGGCAAAUCUCUGCAUCAUCCCGAGCCUGAGUACAGUUUCCUUCCAAAUGGGCAGUGACCCAGGUGGCCAAAGACUGUUCAUGAGUUUUAUAAAAGUAUUGAUGGUCACAGGUGAUAAAGUCCGUUUUUACCACUAUCUUAGGCUUAUUAUAGCUAACAUUAAACUACUCUGGAAAAAGAUGUAUAUCGUUUCUUAAUGAAGAUGAAAAAUAUGUAAUUCAUAUAAAUCAACUGUUUAUAUCCCAAGACUUUAAAGACAUUUUUUAAUGCCUGAAUGAUGAGAAUUGUACAGUUUUUGCCUCAUAAGCAAACUUGAAUCACCUGUAUAUGAAUAGGGAAUGAACACAUUGCAAUGGCUUUAAAUGCUCUUUUAUCUCGUUGUAAAUGUGAAGGCAAGAUUUUGAUGCAGUAGGAUGUAGGUAAUGUAUUUAAAUAUUUCACAUGACCAUAUCGUGUCCAAACUCAGUCUGAGAAUGUGACCGCUUUCCAUCUAACUGGAAUGCAGAUCAGAAUGAGUUCAACUCAUUCUGUGCAACUUCACAGGAGGUUUAUUAGAAUGCUCAGUGUAGAGGACAUUCCCGUCAUCCAUGCCAACUGCCUAACUCAUUAUCAGAGCUGAUAGAGCAUGGAAAAACCUGUCCAGCAAUCAGUUGUUUCCCUCCUUCCAAAAACAGCCUCCAAUGCCACGACCUGAAGAGAGCCGAAAUGGUUAUUUUACAGCAUACAAGCUUCUGCUCCAGUAUGAUAAUUUUUAGUUGCCUAAGAAUCAUUGGAUCAGACCUAAAUGAUCCAUCUGCAUUUUUAUAAGAAUGAAUCUUUCUUUGCCCUUCCUCUCCUAGCUGCUAGAUUUUAACUACCUUUUACAAAUGUUACAAAACGUAUUUUAGAGGCAACGUCUCUCAAGAUGACCUGAGUUCCUUCCUGCCAACUGUUCCGCUUACAAUACAAGUAGAGAAGAGCACUGGCUGGCAAGCAUCAACAGAGUCUUCCUCCUAACGUGAGCACAUCCCUGUAAUGAGAAAAAGUCUGUGGUUUAGAAAAUAUGAUCAUGGUUGCCCACAGUCAGCAUACUCUUAAUGACUCAAAAUUCUGAAUUAUGGCAGAAAGGAAAAAUAAAACAGACUUCACAUUAGAACAUAGAAUCAUUUACAUCCUAACACUGACCACAGUUCACUAAAGCUCAGUAGCAUUAACAGAUAUAGUUAGGAAAUGCAGUUUCCUAACUUCAGGGUGACGACAAGAUAUGUAUAACAGUGACAGAAAUCUCCAAAGCUGCUGUAUAUGAUAUAGCUUUGUUAAAUAUGAAGGUCAUUUAAAUACAAUUGAUGUUUAGUACUAUAUAUGUACUUUUCACAUUCUUUGGAUUUCUGGAAGGUAAUGACACCUUACUGUUUACAGCUAAUGCAUAGUUACUUGCAUGCCAUGGUUGUACAGUAGCAGACUACGACCCUAUUGUGAUAUUAAAUGUUUAUUUCAUAAUGCCAUCUCUACAUAGCUUAAUUUGAUGAGGAUUGAAUGUAAUAUAUAACAGGAAUGAUUAUACAAUAUGUAGUUGUAUCUUAUAUAAGAUUGCUAGGUUGCAUCUUACCAUGACUAUGUCAUUAUUUUGAUAAUUAGGCAUUUAUGAAUUAUAGUAUAUAUUCCUCAUGUUGGCAUGAUAAUUUUGCUAUUUUCCAUGCAUUAAAAAUAAGACAAAUUCUUAGAGUAAUUUUAGUAAUUUUAUCUAUAAUCUGUGGGGGUUUUUGGAGGGGGAGGCCACUGGUUGUUUCUACUUCCCUAUGAUAUUUUCUCUCUCAGUAAAGGAAUGAGCUAAGUUUGUAAAUGUCUCCUAAAAACAAUCAAGUAAUUUUAUUAGCUUCUUUUGGACCCUUUAAAUGUUGACUUCUCCCAUUAAAAAAUAAAUUGAUAUAACUAGUGAUUGCAAAGAUAUAAUCAUUUUUUAAAAGUGAUGGCCCAAUGUAUUUAAUUCUCUAACAAUUGUCACAAGAGAAAGCAUACAUAAUAAAAAUACAAAAACAUACAGAUUUAGAUGUAAAAUCUAUAUCAGCUGUAUUUUUAGGGAGGCUAAGCAGAUGGUAUUACUGUGGAAGAAUUAUCAAGUUUUAUUCACCUCAAAUCCCACUGGGUUCUUAAAACUUGAAAAUUCAAAUUGUAGAGGAUUAUGAGACAAUGCAAUGUUAACUUAAAGUCAUACUAUACCUUUCUGGGCCAAAUAUUGCUAACUCUGUGGCUAAUUAUGCAAUUAAUUCUCAACUUAUCAAAGCUUUUUACUGGCAAUAAAUUCUUUGCCCUCAAGUGAAGUGGAUUGAAAAGACAUCAAGGAUAAUCACUUUGAGUCUGUGUCUUGGUUUUCCCCCUACAUUCCAGACACUUUAAAUUUGGAUGUUUUCAUUUUUUUUUAAAUAAAACCACACAAAUAUGCAGAUACUUUCCCAGAAUUUCUCAGUUAAAUGGCUGAUUCUCUUGAAAACUAACCUUAAUGGAGUUGUAAACAUUUCAGUUUAGAAUGACUUUGAAAAAUUCCUUAGAUUUUAGGAUGUUUUAUUCUACCAAAUAUGAAAAAAUAAAUUGGUUAAAUACAAUGGAGUUUUAAAAUUAACCUGGGGAUUCUAUUUGAACUAGAAAAUUCCUAUCGGAAAAGAAUUUGCACAUACAGAUUCAGCUAAUAAAUUUUAAGAGGAUUAGGAUUCUCAUAAUUGCUUUAAAUGAAAAUGCAUUUUAGUGAUACACAGAGAUGCCAUAUACUAUAGUGUUCAAUAGGAAAACUUCAAAUAGGACAUGUUUAAAAAGGUAAUUGAUCCUUGCUUUACUUCCCAACAUCUCAUUUUCUUUUGGCUGCAGUAAGAUAGAGGUGACUGUAUGGCUGCAGUUCAUGGCAUAAGGUCAUUUAGGGCGCACACUGGCACAUAGGCUGGAAAACAGGCACUGGACCCAGCUUUCAGGUGUGUGAUGUUGGGUGCGUUUCACCUUUGAAACUCAGCCUUCCAUCUGUAAAGGGCGGCAAUGGUGCCCACCUUUCGAGGCAUUGCGAGGCUAGAUGGUAACACACAAAAAGCUCCCACACUGGGACCUUGAUGCAGCAUAGCUGGCAUUAACAACUGUGGGGACACCGGGCCACUCUUUUUCUACCAGUUGUUUUAUGAAUCCACCUAUUAAUUUUCAUCCAUCUUUUCAUCAUAGGUAAAGGUCAAUCAGGUUUUUCAAAAAGACUCCCUGAAUAACUUAAGUUCCUGUAUUUCUAAGAUACAGGGAUUUCUAUGAAACGAAUUUGACAUUUGGUCAAUAAAGACUUAAACUCUUCUUAAAUCUAUACAGUUUUAGGAGAGUAUUUCAUAAAAUUACUGACUGAUGACAUUGAGACAAGAGCAUCAAUUAUCACCUUUCACAUACAAAUUAGGCAAGACAGGGUCAGUGCUUACAUUUUGUGGUUAUACAUGAUACAUUUUUUUCAGUGAAGAUAAAACUAUGAUUUGAAAGGUGUCUUAUAUUUUAAAAAGAUUUUAAAAUCUUUUUUAAAAAACUUUUAAAAAAAGACUGAUCAAAGGAACUAUUUCUACCCGUCUAUGCUCUUUUAAAUGUCAAGUUUCAAAACCCAUUUUCAUACACUAGGGUGAGUUUGAAAUUUACCUGAUUACAGGAAUUGCUUGGGUUCGGGCAGAUUCCCACUUUGACCUCUAGAGAUUUAGAUUCAGAAACACUGGGGUAGGCCCUGGAGAGCAGUACUCUUAAUAAGCUCCUCAGUGCUUCUUACCAUUAGGCAAAUUAGGGAAACGGCAUUGGGUCAAAGUGCUGCCUUUAUCGACCAUUAGAGGGAGUUCUUUAAAUAACGAAGUUAUUGCUCUAAUUCAAAAUGCGUUAAAGAAUUUUCCAAGGAAUACAAGCCAUCUGGUUGGUGUUACAGCAGUGUUUUCAUUAGAGUGUACAUUUAACAUUUUAGUUUUAUCAAAAUUUUUUGAAAUUAAGAAUUAGAACCAGAGCUCCUAUCAGUAUAUAUGUACGCAGGUGUGCAUGCCAGUGUUAAAAACAGAUUGUGUAAAAGUUCAAGCCCAUUUUAGAAAGCCAACAUUUUAUGUUACAAUGUG